rnacentral:rRNA from 1 species
UACGUAGGGCGCAAGCGUUGUCCGGAAUUAUUGGGCGUAAAGAGCUCGUAGGCGGUUUGUCGCGUCUGUCGUGAAAGCCCACGGCUUAACCGUGGGUCUGCGGUGGAUACGGGCAGACUAGAGGCAGGUAGGGGAGAAUGGAAUUCCCGGUGUAGCGGUGAAAUGCGCAGAUAUCGGGAGGAACACCAGUGGCGAAAGCGGCUACCUGGCCCAUUCUUGACGCUGAGGCGCGAAAGCUAGGGGAGCAAACGGG